GACGAACGCUGGCGGCGUGCCUAAUACAUGCAAGUAGAACGCUGAAGGAGGAGCUUGCUUCUCUGGAUGAGUUGCGAACGGGUGAGUAACGCGUAGGUAACCUGCCUGGUAGCGGGGGAUAACUAUUGGAAACGAUAGCUAAUACCGCAUAAGAGUAGAUGUUGCAUGACAUUUGCUUAAAAGGUGCAAUUGCAUCACUACCAGAUGGACCUGCGUUGUAUUAGCUAGUUGGUGGGGUAACGGCUUACCAAGGCGACGAUACAUAGCCGACCUGGGAGGGUGAUCGGCCACACUGGGACUGAGACACGGCCCAGACUCCUACGGGAGGCAGCAGUAGGGAAUCUUCGGCAAUAGACGGAAGUCUGACCGAGCAACGCCGCGUGAGUGAAGAAGGUUUUCGGAUCGUAAAGCUCUGUUGUAAGAGAAGAACGAGUGUGAGAGUGGAAAGUUCACACUGUGACGGUAUCUUACCAGAAAGGGACGGCUAACUACGUG
rnacentral:rRNA from 1 species